GAGAGUAACUGUUCACCUGUUGACGGUAUCUAACCAGCAAGUCACGGCUAACUACGUGCCAGCAGCCGCGGUAAUACGUAGGUGGCAAGCGUUAUCCGGAUUUAUUGGGCGUAAAGGGAACGCAGGCGGUUCUUUAAGUCUGAUGUGAAAGCCUUCGGCUUAACCGAAGAUGUGCAUUGGAAACUGGGGAACUUGAGUGCAGAAGAGGAGAGUGGAACUCCAUGUGUAGCGGUGAAAUGCGUAGAUAUAUGGAAGAACACCAGUGGCGAAAGCGGCUCUCUGGUCUGUAACUGACGCUGAGGUUCGAAAGCGUGGGUAGCGAACAGGAUUAGAUACCCUGGUAGUCCACGCCGUAAACGAUGAAUGCUAGGUGUUGGAGGGUUUCCGCCCUUCAGUGCCGCAGCUAACGCACUAAGCAUUCCGCCUGGGGAGUACGACCGCAAGGUUGAAACUCAAAGGAAUUGACGGGGGCCCGCACAAGCGGUGGAGCAUGUGGUUUAAUUCGAAGCUACGCGAAGAACCUUACCAGGUCUUGACAUCUUUUGACCACCUAAGAGAUUAGGUUUUCCCUUCGGGGACAAAAUGACAGGUGGUGCAUGGUUGUCGUCAGCUCGUGUCGUGAGAUGUUGGGUUAAGUCCCGCAACGAGCGCAACCCUUGUUGUCAGUUGCCAGCAUUCAGUUGGGCACUCUGGCGAGACUGCCGGUGACAAACCGGAGGAAGGUGGGGAUGACGUCAAAUCAUCAUGCCCCUUAUGACCUGGGCUACACACGUGCUACAAUGGGCAGUACAACGAGUCGCGAAACCGCGAGGUUUAGCAAAUCUCUUAAAGCUGCUCUCAGUUCGGACUGCAGGCUGCAACUCGCCUGCACGAAGUCGGAAUCGCUAGUAAUCGCGAAUCAGCAUGUCGCGGUGAAUACGUUCCCGGGCCUUGUACACACCGCCCGUCACACCAUGAGAGUUUGUAACACCCAAAGCCGGUGGGGUAACCUUUUGGAGCCAGCCGUCUAAGGUGGGACAGAUGAUUGGGGUGAAGUCGUAACAAGGUAGCCGUAGGAGAACCUGCGGCUGGAUCACCUCCUUU
rnacentral:ncRNA from 1 species